GUUCAAACAAGUCAAUAAAACUAAACUUCGGAGCCAAGCAGUCACGGUGGGAAAAUGACCACUUAAAGAUUGCCAAGAGAAAAGACAAGCACGUUGAACUUCAAAUGGUGAUGGAGAGACCAGGCAUGGGGCAAGGCCUAGGAGAGUGGUUACCCAUGGGGUUUUCAAGUUAACAGUCUUGGAUCAAAAGUCUAGGCGAAAAAGAACCUUCCGCUAUCUCUUACCGUGAAGCUCAUUACUGGACCUUUUACAAUCUGUGGAAUCCAAAUGAAGCAAGCACCACCAGGUCUCAGAAGGGAGUGCAGAUCUUCCUAAUAAGGCUCCUAAGGACAAUGGCCCUUUGUCCUUACACCUGUUGAAGGGGGAAGGUGCCCUUGACAGAGACCUGGUAGGGUUUAUGCGAGGCCGUGCAGUUCAGAUUUCUUACCUGCGUCUCUGACGAUACAUCCCGUUUCAUAAUAUGCCUUCUAGCAACGGAACUUGGAGACGGAGCCCUCAGUGUUCAAAGGGAAAGGAGCACAUCCAAGCUUUACUUGAGAAGAAUGAUAGAAUAUAGAAAUCCAUGCUUUUGUGGUUAGUGCUGUCAAGUUGGUUCCGACUCCUAGAGACCCUGUGUACGGAAAUCCAUGUAGAAGAGCAAUAUUACAAAGUUGUGGCAUGUUCCAGCUCUCGACAACAUGCCAGCCACAAGUUCCAUGAGGGUCCUGCUCUUCCCUGGUCCUCAGCUUCUAGCUCAGCACGAGGCACAGAGUUAAAUCUCAACAGAGGCGAGACUUGCUGGAUGAACACACCUCCAGGACUUUGCUAAAGAAAAGAAAAUGGCAAAAUGAUUCAUUAAGAUUGACAGCUGAUUUUUCCAGCUAUGUCACUAAAAUCUCCCAAUAAACAUUGGUCUGUGGGCACCUGUGUGUUGACG
rnacentral:lncRNA from 1 species